UAAAUACUAUGUCAUUGUGAAUUAUUUUUAUGUAAACGUUAUGGAGAAGGCAGGAUCUUCUGGAAUCACGGCCUCCAAUCCUGCCCCUCUCCUGCCCCGUCCUCAGCUUGCUCUGGAUCCUCCUGUGCCUUGUCCUGUGGGUGACAGCCACACGCCACAAGUGGGAUUCUGCUCUGUGGGUGGUCUGCACAGUGGUGUCAUAUUCCACGGAAUGUUCAUUGCUUGCUUUCUCACCCAGCAGUGUGCAGCUCUUCCCGUCCCCAGACACGGGGACCGGCCCGCUGUUGUAACUGCCUGGAGUUCCCAGCACGUGUGCAGCAUGUCACAACGAAUAUCUCCCUCUUGCUGCCCUCUGUGCUGUUUCCAGUUGGCCCUUGGCAUCCACAGUGCUCUCCUGAGCAUGCUCACGUGCAUCCUGUCUCCGUGGGUGCCUCGCUGGGGGUAAUACCAGGAAGUGGAAUCGGUGGAUUUUAGGACUUGCCGCCAGUGUCGUUAUGGCCUGUGAAGUCGCCACCCGGGCAACAGCCCUGGAAUAAUUCUGUGGAAGCGGGAACCCUCAUAGCCAAAUUCUUUCUCUUCAGGGUUCAGAGCAUGAAAGUUUGCUGCUGUCUUUGGAACUUUGUCUGCAAAAUCUGGAAGGAGACUAGCCCAAGGGCUCACCACCAAUGGCAAUGUCAAAGAACACGGGGGGGUUGACCAUGGCUGAUGGCAGGGGACUCUGGGAGGCAGCAGCAUCUGCAAAGCUGUGUAUUUUAAAAUUUCAAUAGAUCCCACCUUGCUUCUCUUUCCUCCAUGUAUGCAGACCCUUUCCCUGUGCUGACCAUGAAGCUGGGCUGGACGGUGUCUCUGCAGUGCUCUCCUUCCCCUUUCUAUGACAUCAACAUCAUACUAAUGAUAAUGUAAUGACUGUUGUUUAUGCCUUCCUUCAAAUCUUAUUCAGAAACUUACCUUUUCAAAGAAUAGAAAAAUAGAAAAAUGGACGGAAAUGGCUGGCAAAAAAUGCCCUUGAGGAAAUAUCCUGGAUGACAAAUAAUCAAAAGGAAAUAAAACAGUUCCUGAUGCCA